rnacentral:ncRNA from 1 species
AAAUUCAUAACGGGAAUAGGUGCUUACUUCUUGCAUGUGCAAGUGCAGGGAUAAGCUUAAAAGGGAAGAUCGGUUCAAAGCCGACGCGGUCCCGCCACUGUAACAGAGGAGUCAAUGUCUGAAUGCCACUGAUCGAAUUCGAUUGGGAAGGUUGACGUUUGAUGAGGAUACUGAAGCCAGGAGACCUGCCUAUUUCUACAGCACAGU